CGGACAGAUGGGAGCUUAGCUCCCUGAUGUUAGCGGCGGACGGGUGAGUAACACGUGGGUAACCUGCCUGUAAGACUGGGAUAACUCCGGGAAACCGGGGCUAAUACCGGAUGCUUGUUUGAACCGCAUGGUUCAAACAUAAAAGGUGGCUUCGGCUACCACUUACAGAUGGACCCGCGGCGCAUUAGCUAGUUGGUGAGGUAAUGGCUCACCAAGGCGACGAUGCGUAGCCGACCUGAGAGGGUGAUCGGCCACACUGGGACUGAGACACGGCCCAGACUCCUACGGGAGGCAGCAGUAGGGAAUCUUCCGCAAUGGACGAAAGUCUGACGGAGCAACGCCGCGUGAGUGAUGAAGGUUUUCGGAUCGUAAAGCUCUGUUGUUAGGGAAGAACAAGUACCGUUCGAAUAGGGCGGUACCUUGACGGUACCUAACCAGAAAGCCACGGCUAACUACGUGCCAGCAGCCGCGGUAAUACGUAGGUGGCCAGCGUUGUCCGGAAUUAUUGGGCGUAAAGGGCUCGCAGGCGGUUUCUUAAGUCUGAUGUGAAAGCCCCCGGCUCAACCGGGGAGGGUCAUUGGAAACUGGGGAACUUGAGUGCAGAAGAGGAGAGUGGAAUUCCACGUGUAGCGGUGAAAUGCGUAGAGAUGUGGAGGAACACCAGUGGCGAAGGCGACUCUCUGGUCUGUAACUGACGCUGAGGAGCGAAAGCGUGGGGAGCGAACAGGAUUAGAUACCCUGGUAGUCCACGCCGUAAACGAUGAGUGCUAAGUGUUAGGGGGUUUCCGCCCCUUAGUGCUGCAGCUAACGCAUUAAGCACUCCGCCUGGGGAGUACGGUCGCAAGACUGAAACUCAAAGGAAUUGACGGGGGCCCGCACAAGCGGUGGAGCAUGUGGUUUAAUUCGAAGCAACGCGAAGAACCUUACCAGGUCUUGACAUCCUCUGACAAUCCUAGAGAUAGGACGUCCCCUUCGGGGGCAGAGUGACAGGUGGUGCAUCGUUGUC
rnacentral:rRNA from 1 species